rnacentral:rRNA from 1 species
GACGAACGCUGGCGGCGUGCUUAACACAUGCAAGUCGAGCGGAAAGGCCCUUCGGGGUACUCGAGCGGCGAACGGGUGAGUAACACGUGAGUAACCUGCCCCAGACUUUGGGAUAACCCUCGGAAACGGGGGCUAAUACCGGAUACGACACAGCUUCGCAUGGGGUCUGUGUGGAAAGUUUUUCGGUUUGGGAUGGGCUCGCGGCCUAUCAGCUUGUUGGUGGGGUGAUGGCCUACCAAGGCGACGACGGGUAGCCGGCCUGAGAGGGCGACCGGCCACACUGGGACUGAGACACGGCCCAGACUCCUACGGGAGGCAGCAGUGGGGAAUAUUGCACAAUGGGCGGAAGCCUGAUGCAGCGACGCCGCGUGAGGGAUGACGGCCUUCGGGUGGUAAACCUCUUUCAGCAGGGACGAAGCGUAAGUGACGGUACCUGCAGAAGAAGCGCCGGCCAACUACGU